rnacentral:rRNA from 1 species
UACGGGGGGGGCAAGCGUUGCUCGGAAUUACUGGGCGUAAAGGGCUCGUAGGCGGCCAACUAAGUCCGACGUGAAAUCCCAAGGCUUAACCUUGGAACUGCGUCGGAUACUGGAUGGCUUGAAUUCGGGAGAGGGAUGCAGAAUUCCAGGUGUAGCGGUGAAAUGCGUAGAUAUCUGGAGGAAUACCGGUGGCGAAGGCGGCAUCCUGGACCGACAUUGACGCUGAGGAGCGAAAGCUAGGGGAGCAAACGGG